GUAGGGUGCAAGCGUUGUCCGGAAUUAUUGGGCGUAAAGAGCUCGUAGGCGGUCUGUCGCGUCGGAUGUGAAAAUCCAGGGCUCAACCCUGGACCUGCAUUCGAUACGGGCAGACUAGAGUUCGGUAGGGGAGACUGGAAUUCCUGGUGUAGCGGUGAAAUGCGCAGAUAUCAGGAGGAACACCGGUGGCGAAGGCGGGUCUCUGGGCCGAAACUGACGCUGAGGAGCGAAAGCGUGGGGAGCAAACAGGAUUAGAUACCCUGGUAGUCCACGCCGUAAACGUUGGGCGCUAGGUGUGGGGAACCUUCCACGUUCUCCGUGCCGCAGCUAACGCAUUAAGCGCCCCGCCUGGGGAGUACGGCCGCAAGGCUA
rnacentral:rRNA from 1 species